rnacentral:rRNA from 1 species
UGGGGGAUAUUGCACAAUGGGCGAAAGCCUGAUGCAGCGACGCCGCGUGGGGGAUGAAGGAUUUCGGGUUGUAAACCUCUUUCGCUAUCGAACAAGGCCCGCUUAGGGUGGGUUGAGGGUAGGUGGAGAAGAAGCGCCGGCUAACUACGUGCCAGCAGCCGCGGUAAUACGUAGGGCGCGAGCGUUGUCCGGAAUUAUUGGGCGUAAAGGGCUUGUAGGCGGCUUGUUGCGCCUGCUGUGAAAACGCGGGGCUUAACUUCGCGCGUGCAGUCGGUACGGGCAGGCUUGAGUGUGGUAGGGGUGACUGGAAUUCCAGGUGUAGCGGUGGAAUGCGCAGAUAUCUGGAGGAACACCGAUGGCGAAGGCAGGUCACUGGGCCAUUACUGACGCUGAGGAGCGAAAGCAUGGGUAGCGAACAGG